rnacentral:rRNA from 1 species
UACGGAGGGGGCGAGCGUUAUUCGGAAUUAUUGGGCGUAAAGGGCGCGUAGGCGGCUUUACAAGUCAAAGGUGAAAUCCCUCGGCUCAACUGAGGAACUGCCUUUGAAACUGUAAGCUUGAGGCCGGGAGGGGGUAGCGGAAUUCCCAGUGUAGCGGUGAAAUGCUUAGAUAUGACAUAGAACACCCAUUGCGAAGGCAGCUCGCUACACUAUUAUUGACACUGAGGCACGAAAGCGUGGGGAUCAAACAGG